UUCACAGAAGCUCAACCCGAACCUCCAGCAGAAGCAAAAUCGUCCCUCUCCGCGAUCCUCGCCUUCUUUUGCUACUGAUCCUCCAAAACUCUUCAUGACCGGCGCUCUUUGAUCGCAAGUUCUCCUCGGCGACAAAUCCGAUGCCUUCAAUUUAUCUUCGCCGUGUCCUCCUUUUCUCGUUUUCUUCUUCAUUAUCACAGAUUUUAUGCCGCUAACACCUCUCCGAGUUUCUAGAGCCCAAUGCUGAGUUGCCACUCUUCCUUCCCGCUCUCCCAUUGCGCUUCCAAUAUCAUCUUUUCCGCUCUCGUUCGCCUCUCCAUCUUGGCUUUCUCCUCCGACGUCGCAGCUCAGUUCGGCCGGAACCAUAUCUUUUUCAUCAAUCCGUACAGCUAUUGCGCGUCUGAGAACCCGACCGGUAAUCCAAUAGGCCGCUGAAACUUAUUGCUUACGACUGGUAUUUCUUUGAGCUCACGCUGCUUUUCGUGGAACCCCACAGAACUUGUAUUCCUUUUUAUUGGGGUUGGGAUUUAGUCUCUCUUUCAGCUCCUCUGCUGCUCCUGAGCAACUCAAUGGCCACAGUUCAUGCUCUGAUGGAGUUUGGGAUGAUGCCUCUGCUGCGUGUCGCUUGGGUUGCGGCGACUCUGCCGAUAGUCGUAGCCUCGGUUCCCGUUGAGUCCAUUGGCUUUUUCCGUCGGCUUCUUCUAGGGUUUGCUGCUAGGGGGAAGACUAUGCCGCAGUCGUCUACCAAGUUAACCGUUCCACAGAAGUUCUUUCUGCAUUUCUACGUCAUUGCCGUGCUUUUGACAACCGGCUUAGUGCUUUCUAUGUGGUUCUAUGCUUAUAAAAAGAUGACCCCAUUAGCCAGCGAACCAUUGGAAUUCUCUACAAUUGCUAGUCACCUAACUGGUGGUUCACAUAUGCUUUCUAUUCACAAAAGCUCAAUAGUUCCAAUGAAGCGAAGAUUUGAGGUUUGGAAAACUGUAUUUGUUCUUCUGUUGAUGGAAGCACAGGCCUUGAGGCGUUUGUAUGAGACACUUUACGUGUUUAAUUAUGGUCCUUCUGCUCGCAUGCAUAUACUGGGCUACUUGGCUGGCUUGUUCUUCUAUACUGCAGCACCACUUUCUAUUGCAAGUACGUGUGCUGUAGAGGCAAUUAAUUAUGUAGGCAGUCAAAUAGUGGAAUUUAUUGUCAAAGGACGGUCUCAUAUGCCAGAUGUCGAGUUCUUUCACUGGGAACUUUUGAAGCCGCUCUUUUAUUUGGGUUGGUGCCAGUGGCUUGGAGCCGCAAUUUUUGUUUGGGGAUGGAUGCACCAGCUUCACUGUCAUGCAAUUCUUGGAUCUUUGCGAGAGCAGAGAGGAGCUGAUGAAUACAUAAUUCCGAAGGGUGACUGGUUUGAAUAUGUUUCCUGCCCACAUUACUUUGCUGAAAUAGUCAUUUAUGCAGGUUUCUUACUUGCUAGUGGAGGUGUAGACCCAACAAUUUGGCUCCUUUUCCUCUUUGUGGUAUCAAAUCUCGUUUUUGCAGCAACUGAAACACAUAGGUGGUACCAUCAGAAGUUUGAGAGUUAUCCUCCUUCGCGGCGAGCUAUAUUACCAUGGAUUUAUUAAACAUACAAGUUUUUUAUUUAUAAAAUAUAGAGAUAAUUCAGAUUUAUGAAUGCUGCAAAUAUGCAGAGCAAUGAAGUGAAGUUUUUCUAAAUUUAUCUUUACUGUUUUCAAUAUUUUCAGCACCAGAAAACUUGUGUUCUGCUUGAAGUCUUGCUUGCAUUUGGCCUCCUGAAAUUUGAUACAGAAAUCUUUCAAUCUAAAGUUUUCUAUUUGAUCUUUUACACAAUUCCUAUGUAUUUACAUAUCUAACUAAAUUUUACUUUGUUACAUUUAUGCCAAUUACCACCCAACUCUUUUGUAUGACAACCUCGCCCGCCUUUAAAAAUUGAAUAAGA